GCUUUAUAAAUCUACGAGUUCCCUCCACAUAUUUACAAGAGCGAUCUGCAGUUAACCGGACGCAUAUACAUCUGUCCAUAUUGAGGUACAAUGAUGAACUACUGUGGUCUGAUAACAUCCAGGAAGGAAGCAGUUCCUCUAAAGAGCAUUGAGGUGGAGGUGGAGGUGAGGGACCAUGUGGCUACAGUGGUCUCCACUCUGAACUAUGAGAACAAGGAGGACAAACCAAUAGAGGCAAUAUUUGUCUUCCCUCUGCCUGGAGAUGCUGCUGUCUGUCAUUUCAGUGCUAAGAUUGGACAAAAAGAGAUUGUAGCUGAGGUGAAGGAGAAAC